GGUAGGAGUAGGGUAGGGGUAGGGGUAGGGUUGAGUUGGGGUAGUGUUAGGGUUAGGGUUCCCUUCUUGUCAGGGAACUCUGGGAAAUGUAGCUCGGGGGUAGGGGUAGAGUUCCCUUUUUGCCAGGGAACUCUGGGAACUGUAGCUCUUGGAGGGGAACAGGGGGUCUCCUAACAACUCUCUGCACCCUUUUCAAACUAUAGCUCCCAGAUUCUUUGGGGAAAGAAGCCAUGAGUGUUUAAAGCAGCUUCAUAGCACAUGAAAUGGUGUGGAUGUGGCCCUGGCCUCCAUCACCCCACUGCCCCUUAUUCUUCAGGAAUCGAAAAGAUUUCCCCAUGCAAAUCUCUCGGAAACAAUGUAUUUCAUCCGGAAAACUAUUUAAUAAAGAUUACUUUUUAUUAAAACCUUUGAA